rnacentral:rRNA from 1 species
UCGGGAAUUUUGGGCAAUGGGCGAAAGCCUGACCCAGCAACGCCGCGUGAAGGAUGAAGUAUUUCGGUAUGUAAACUUCGAAAGAAUAGGAAGAAUAAAUGACGGUACUAUUUAUAAGGUCCGGCUAACUACGUGCCAGCAGCCGCGGUAAUACGUAGGGACCAAGCGUUGUUCGGAUUUACUGGGCGUAAAGGGCGCGUAGGCGGCAAUUCAAGUCAUCUGUGAAAUCUCCGGGCUUAACUCGGAACGGUCAGAUGAUACUGCUUUGCUAGAGUGCAGAAGGGGCAAUCGGAAUUCUUGGUGUAGCGGUGAAAUGCGUAGAUAUCAAGAGGAACACCUGAGGUGAAGACGGGUUGCUGGGCUGACACUGACGCUGAGGCGCGAAAGCCAGGGGAGCAAACGGGAUUAGAUACCCAAGUAGUCCUGAGCGGGCUGGCAAGGCGCAU